GAGGCUGGGGAGCCGCGCCUUGAUUCAGCGUGCUCCUGCGGCGCGAUUCUGCACAGAAGCUCUCAGCCCUUGUCGGGGCGACAGAUGGGAAUGAAGUUAUUUCACAUCCUCCGGCUUGACCCAUCUGAGAGCUGAAUAACACCAAGUGACCUCUGUUGAUAGCAUGAGAAGAUAAGAGAAGAGUUGCUAAUUUCUGGUCUAUAAAUUAUAAUGAGUGAAUACAGAACAUGGUGCCCACCUGAAAUGAACUGCAUAGGAAUAUACAAGACAUGGAUGUGUCUACCAGCCAUCUCAGCUGCCUUGUACCAGGAGCCACACCCAUUGGCAUCUGGUGCUACAACUUUCAUCCUUUUUGGAUGACCUUCCUUCUACCCUUCUCAAUAAUUCAUCAGCUGCAACACACCCACUUUCACAAGCAACCUUCAGGUCUUGUUCUAGAUAAAGCACCAUAGUUAUUUGUAGUAGCUAUGUUUUUAAACAUUCAUGUGUGUAAAACAGAGUGCUUUGGGCUGAAUGUUUGUGCC